CCGGUACGACGAACUUAACAUCCACGAUCCGGUACCGUCCGGGCCCGGGGGUUAGAUGGUGACUGCUGCUUUAGACAGACCCCGUGCUUUUUAUUUUAUUUAUUUUUUGAGUAAAGUUUAAACAAAUCUUAAGUUUAAAAAUUUAUUCAACUUACUAGAAGGAGCCAGUUUUACUUUACGUAUAUUAAUUCUUCAAUUAUUUUCUUUCAGAGAAUUCAGCUGCUAACGUUGGAUAUGGCCUUCUUGCAACGUUGUUCACUGUUAUAAUAAUAGGAUUAUCUAUUAUUGUUUACAUGAAAUAUAGGAGAUAAAAAAAAAUUUGUAAAAGUGAUAUAAAGUGAAGCGAUGAGGUUAACCAUAAAAAAAGUGGAGAAGAUUGUGUAUUCGUUUGGUAUUUUAAAGGAAUUGUAAUAGCUCAUGAUUUUUAGUAAUUGAAUUUUUAAACUGCCAUUUUCAUGGAGUUCUUAGUUCCCCAAUUUAAAAACAGAUGACAGCACUACUGAAUUGAAGGCAUAUGUUCUGUUAAAAGUAUUUUGAAUAAAGGUUUAUAAACUUC